CAGCCGCCGCGGUAAUACCAGCAGCCCAAGUGGUGGUCGCGUUUAUUGGGCCUAAAGCGCUCGUAGCCUGGCCGGUAAGUUCCCCGUGAAAUCGGGUCGCCCAACGAUUCGGCUUGCAGGGAAUACUGUCGGUCUUGGGGCCGGGAGACGCCGAGGGUACUCCGGGGGUAGCGGUGAAAUGCUGUAAUCCUCGGGGGACUACCAGUGGCGAAGGCGCUCGGCGAUAACGGGCCUGACGGUGAGGGGCGAAAGCUGGGGGCGCGAACGGGAUUAGAUACCCGUGAGUCCCUGUCUCUUAUAC
rnacentral:rRNA from 1 species